GUUACCUGUAGAGAUCGGUUUCAUGUAGGCAUCAGUUACCUGUAGAGAUUGGUUUCAUGUAGGGAUCACUUACCUGUAAAUAUCACUAUCAAUGUAGGGAUCAGUUACCUGUAGAGAUUGGUUUCAUGUAGGGAUCGGUUACCCGUAGAGAUCGGUUUCAUGUAGGGAUCAGUUACCUGUAGAGAUCGGUUUCAUGUAGGGAUCAGUUACCUGUAGAUAUCAC